CCUUCGAUAGCUCAGUUGGUAGAGCGGUGGAACUGGAGAAGUUGUGAUGGUUAUCCAUAGGUCGCUGGUUCGAAUCCGGCUCGAAGGA
rnacentral:tRNA from 1 species